rnacentral:lncRNA from 1 species
CAGCCUCUUUCAAGCAAGGCCCUUUUGUUCCUAGUUCCCAGAGAGGAGGCAGAAUCUUUGGCGAAGUGCUUCCUGAGCAACGUCUCAGUUAUGCCUCAUGAUAACCCUGUGAUGUAGACACACCCCCAUCUUUCGUUACACAGACAAGGAAACUGAGGCUCGCCAAGCUCAAAACCACUGCCAAGAUCAUCACUAGUAAGUGGCAGAGCUGCUAAGAUUCAGACACAGCAACUGCACAUCCCUGGCCUCCAAUCAACCAAGAAACAGCCAAAUGAAAUAAUUUUUUUAAAAAGGGAAAGAGGCCAGGCCUAGUGGCUCAUGCCUGUAAUCCCAACACCUUGGGAGGCCAAGGCAGGAGGAUCACUUGAUCGCAGGAGUACAAGACCAGCCUGGACAAGAUGGCAAAACCCCGUCUCUACAAAAAAUUUAAAAAUUAGCUGGAUGUGGUGGCACACACCCGUAGGCCCAGCUACUCAAGAGGCUGAGGUGGGAGGAUCACUUGAGCCCAGGAAGCUGAGGCUGCAGCAAGCUGUGAUUGUGCCACUGAACUCUAGCCUAGGUGACAGGGCGAGACCCUACCUCAAAAAAAAAGACAAAAUAAAGAGUAAAAAAAAAAAAAAAAAUGAAAAGAAGAGAGAGGAAAAGAAAAAGGAAAGGACAAAGAUGUAUUUUUCAUCAUCGAC